rfam:Hordeum vulgare subsp. vulgare, WGS project CAJW01000000 data, contig: morex_contig_40154
UUUCGACUCCCUCCGUCUCAGAAUUCUUGUCUUAGAUUUGUUUACAUAUGUAUGUAUCUAGUCACGUUUUAGUAGUUAGAUACAUUUAUUUGUAGACAAACUUAAAACAAGAAUUUUGGGACGGAGGGAGUAUAAU